CCAUGUUUUCGUGACCAUCAUCUUUUCCGCAAAGACGAAAACAACGAAGAAGUAUAUAAGUUCGUUGUUGCUAAAUAUCUGUGAUAUUUAGCUGUGAAAGUUGAUUUUUUUAUGUUUGAUUAUAAAUGUGAUAUCGUUUUGAAACGUGCGCUGCCAAAUUCUUUGAUGGCCCCGAAGGACUGAGAUGUUGGUUACGAUAGCACUAGCUGGAGCGCCUUAUUGUUGCCACCGGGCUGGAUACAACCG